rnacentral:rRNA from 1 species
UACGAAGGGGGCUAGCGUUGCUCGGAAUCACUUGGCGUAAAGGGUGCGUAGGCGGGUCUUUAAGUCAGGGGUGAAAUCCUGGAGCUCAACUCCAGAACUGCCUUUGAUACUGAGGAUCUUGAGUACGGGAGAGGUGAGUGGAACUGCGAGUGUAGAGGUGAAAUUCGUAGAUAUUCGCAAGAACACCAGUGGCGAAGGCGGCUCACUGGCCCGUAACUGACGCUGAGGCACGAAAGCGUGGGGAGCAAACAGG